rnacentral:lncRNA from 1 species
AAAGCAGAUACAACUCAACCUUGACUUGGAGCUGGCCAAUCAGAACUUGAAAAAGGCUAAAGACGAAGUAGCUGGUACGGAAGGUAACGACCUGUCGUCUGUUUAUCUUGACCAUCCCUCAAGUUAUCUCUUCGUUCUUCUGUCUGACCUAAGUGUAUAUCUUGCAGAGAAAAUGAGGUAGGCUCUGGCGAAGAAGGACCUCGAUCUUGCAGCUGCGCAAAAGGAGGCUCAGGAGAAGACUGCACUUGUUGACAAGAAGCUGGCUUCGGUCGGUGCGCUAGAGGAGGAAAUCACCAAGCUGAAGGCGUCUCUUGCUGAGUCCAACCGAGAAGCGACUCGUCUGAAGAAAGAUAAGGUGACUCUAGACGAGAAGCUGGAA